rnacentral:rRNA from 1 species
AUAAGCGCACACGGUGGAUGCCUUGGCGGUCAGAGGCGAUGAAGGACGUGGCAGCCUGCGAAAAGUAUCGGGGAGCUGGCAACAAGCUUUGAUCCGGUAAUGUCCGAAUGGGGAAACCCACCCGCUUGCGGGUAUCCUGCAGUGAAUACAUAGCUGCUGGAAGCGAACCUGGUGAACUGAAAUAUCUAAGUAACCAGAGGAAAAGAAAUCAACCGAGAUUCCGUAAGUAGCGACGAGCGAACGCGGACUAGCCCUUAAGCUGGAUUGGUUCUAGGAAAACGCUCUGGAAAGAGCGGCCAUAGAAGGUGAUAGCCCUGUAUCUGAAAGGGCCAUUCCAGUGAAGACGAGUAGGGCGGGGCACGUGAAACCCUGUCUGAACAUGGGGGGACCAUCCUCCAAGGCUAAAUACUACUGACCGACCGAUAGUGAACCAGUACCGUGAGGGAAAGGCGAAAAGAACCCCGGAGAGGGGAGUGAAAUAGAACCUGAAACCGUGUGCGUACAAGCAGUAGGAGCUCCGCAAGGAGUGACUGCGUACCUUUUGUAUAAUGGGUCAGCGACUUACUGUUCGUGGCAAGCUUAACCGUAUAGGGGAGGCGAAGGGAAACCGAGUCUGAUAAGGGCGCAUAGUCGCGGGCAGUAGACCCGAAACCGGGUGAUCUAGUCAUGCCCAGGGUGAAGGUGCGGUAACACGCACUGGAGGCCCGAACCCACUCCCGUUGCAAAGGUAGGGGAUGAGGUGUGAUUAGGAGUGAAAAGCUAAUCGAACCCGGAGAUAGCUGGUUCUCCUCGAAAGCUAUUUAGGUAGCGCCUCAUAUGUAUCCUCUCGGGGGUAGAGCACUGUUAUGGCUAGGGGGUCAUCGCGACUUACCAAACCAUUGCAAACUCCGAAUACCGAGACGGACUGUAUGGGAGACACACGGCGGGUGCUAACGUCCGUCGUGAAAAGGGAAACAACCCAGACCCACAGCUAAGGUCCCAAAUUCACUGCUAAGUGGAAAACCAUGUGGAAAGGCACAGACAGCCAGGAGGUUGGCUUAGAAGCAGCCACCCUUUAAAGAAAGCGUAAUAGCUCACUGGUCGAGUCGGUCUGCGGGGAAGAUUUAACGGGGCUAAGCAGUGAACCGAAGCUUGGGGUGCAUACUUUGUAUGCGCGGUAGAGGAGCGUUCCGUAAGCCGUUGAAGGUGGAUUGAGAAGUCUGCUGGAGGUAUCGGAAGUGCGAAUGCUGACAUGAGUAACGAUAAUGCGGGUGAAAAACCCGCACGCCGAAAGCCCAAGGUUUCCUUGCGCAACGUUAAUCGGCGCAGGGUGAGUCGGCCCCUAAGGCGAGGACGAAAGUCGUAGUCGAUGGGAAGCAGGUUAAUAUUCCUGCACCUCGCGUAAGUGCGAUGGAGGGACGGAGAAGGUUAGGUGUACCAGGCGUUGGUUGUCCUGGGGAAAGGCGGUAGGUUUGGAUCUUUGGCAAAUCCGGGAUCCUUUAAGACCGAGCACCGAGACGAGCCUUUAUGGCGAAGUCACUGAUACCACGCUUCCAGGAAAAGCUCCUAAGCUUCAGCUUACGCAGACCGUACCGUAAACCGACACAGGUGGGUAGGAUGAGAAUUCUCAGGCGCUUGAGAGAACUCGGGUGAAGGAACUAGGCAACAUGGCACCGUAACUUCGGGAGAAGGUGCACCCUUUUUGGUGGCUCGUGCGAGCUAUAGCUGAAGAGGGUCGCAGUAACCAGGCCGCUGCGACUGUUUAUCAAAAACACAGCACUCUGCAAACACGAAAGUGGACGUAUAGGGUGUGACGCCUGCCCGGUGCUGGAAGGUUAAUUGAUGGGGUCAGCCGCAAGGCGAAGCUCUUGAUCGAAGCCCCAGUAAACGGCGGCCGUAACUAUAACGGUCCUAAGGUAGCGAAAUUCCUUGUCGGGUAAGUUCCGACCUGCACGAAUGGCGUAACGACAGCGGCGCUGUCUCCACCCGAGACUCAGUGAAAUUGAAAUCGCUGUGAAGAUGCAGCGUUCCCGUGGCAAGACGGAAAGACCCCGUGAACCUUUACUAUAGCUUUACACUGAACGUUGAGUUCGUCUGUGUAGGAUAGGUGGGAGGCUAUGAAACUGUGGCGCUAGCUGCAGUGGAGCCAUCCUUGAAAUACCACCCUGUCGUGCUUGACGUUCUAACCUGGGCCCAUUAUCUGGGUCGGGGACCGUGUAUGGUGGGUAGUUUGACUGGGGCGGUCUCCUCCUAAAGAGUAACGGAGGAGCGCGAAGGUACGCUCAGCGCGGUCUGACAUCGCGCACUGUGUGCAAAGGCCUACGCGUCCUUGACUGCAAGAUCGACUGAUCAAGCAGGUAGGAAACUAGGACUUAGUGAUCCGGUGGUUCUGUAUGGAAGGGCCAUCGCUCAACGGAUAAAAGGUACUCCGGGGAUAACAGGCUGAUACCGCCCAAGAGUUCAUAUCGACGGCGGUGUUUGGCACCUCGAUGUCGGAUCAUCACAUCCUGGGGCUGUAGUCGGUCCCAAGGGUAUGGCUGUUCGCCAUUUAAAGUGGUACGCGAGCUGGGUUCAGAACGUCGUGAGACAGUUCGGUCCCUAUCUGCCAUGGGCGUUGGAGAUUUGAGAGGGGCUGCUCCUAGUACGAGAGGACCGGAGUGGACGAACCUCUGGUGUUCCGGUUGUCACGCCAGUGGCAUUGCCGGGUAGCUAUGUUCGGAAGCGAUAACCGCUGAAAGCAUCUAAGCGGGAAGCGCGCCUCAAGAUGAGAUCUCCCGGGGCACAAGCCCCCUGAAGGAACCAUGUAGACUACGUGGUUGAUAGGUCAGGUGUGUAAGUACAGCAAUGUAUUGAGCUAACUGAUACUAAUGAUCCGUGCGGCUUGACC